rnacentral:rRNA from 1 species
GGGUCAGUAGGUUGGUCGUGCCACCGGUACGUACUGGUCUCACUGAUUCCUCCUUCCUGAAGAACCGUAAUGCCAUUAAUUUGGUGUUGCGGGGAAACAGGACUGUUACUUUGAAAAAAUUAGAGUGUUUAAAGCAAGCUAACGCUCGAAUACAUUAGCAUGGAAUAAUGAAAUAGGACGACCGAUCCUAUUUUGUUGGUUUCUAGGAUUGACGUA